rnacentral:rRNA from 1 species
GAUGAACGCUGGCGGCGUGCCUAAUACAUGCAAGUCGAGCGAACAGACGAGGAGCUUGCUCCUCUGACGUUAGCGGCGGACGGGUGAGUAACACGUGGAUAACCUACCUAUAAGACUGGGAUAACUUCGGGAAACCGGAGCUAAUACCGGAUAAUAUAUUGAACCGCAUGGUUCAAUAGUGAAAGACGGUUUUGCUGUCACUUAUAGAUGGAUCCGCGCCGCAUUAGCUAGUUGGUAAGGUAACGGCUUACCAAGGCAACGAUGCGUAGCCGACCUGAGAGGGUGAUCGGCCACACGGGAACUUAGACACGGUCCAGACUCCUACGGGAGGCAGCAGUAGGGAAUCUUCCGCAAUGGGCGAAAGCCUGACGGAGCAACGCCGCGUGAGUGAUGAAGGUCUUCGGAUCGUAAAACUCUGUUAUUAGGGAAGAACAAAUGUGUAAGUAACUAUGCACGUCUUGACGGUACCUAAUCAGAAAGCCACGGCUAACUACGUG